rnacentral:rRNA from 1 species
CCCUUAGAUGUCCUGGGCCGCACGCGCGCUACACUGAGUGUCUGAGAUACGAGUCUGCCUGGUCCGGCAAGGUCUAGGUAAUCGCUAAAAGACACAUCAUGCUUGGGAUAGGUUAUUGCAAAUAUUAAUCUUGAACGAGGAAUUCCUAGUAAGCGCAAGUCAACAGCUUGCGUUGAUUACGUCCCUGCCCUUUGUACACACCGCCCGUCGCUACUACUGAUUGGAUGUUUAAGCGAGGUUCUCGAACUGCUAGCGACUUAGCUUCGGUGAGGUCGCAGUGUGGGAAGUGAACCUAGCUUUGGUGUCUAGAGGAAGUAAAAGUCGUAACA